rnacentral:rRNA from 1 species
CACCGCGGUUAUACGAUAGGCCCAAGUUGACAGACCCCGGCGUAAAGCGUGGUUAAGGAAAACUAUAAACUAAAGCCGAACACCUUCAAGGCAGUCAUACGUUUCCGAAGGCACGAAGCCCCUCCACGAAAGUGGCUUUACUCAUCCUGACCCCACGAAAGCUAGGACA